AGGUAAGCUACUAAGAGCGAAUGGUGGAUGCCUUGACUGGUAAAGGCGAUGAAGGACGUACUAGACUGCGAUAAGCUACGGGGAGCUGUCAAGAAGCUUUGAUCCGUAGAUUUCCGAAUGGGGCAACCCAAUGUAUAGAGAUAUACAUUACCUAUAUAGGAGCGAACGAGGGGAAUUGAAACAUCUUAGUACCCUCAGGAAAAGAAAUCAAUAGAGAUUGCGUCAGUAGCGGCGAGCGAAAGCGCAAGAGGGCAAACCCAGUGCUUGCACUGGGGGUUGUAGGACUGCAAUGUGCAAGAGGUAAGUUUAGCAGAACAUUCUGGAAAGUAUAACCAUAGAGGGUGAUAGUCCCGUAUGCGAAAAACAAACCUUAGCUAGCAGUAUCCUGAGUAGGGCGGGACACGAGGAAUCCUGUCUGAAUCCGGGUCGACCACGAUCCAACCCUAAAUACUAAUACCAGAUCGAUAGUGCACAAGUACCGUGAGGGAAAGGUGAAAAGAACUGAGGUGAUCAGAGUGAAAUAGAACCUGAAACCAUUUGCUUACAAUCAUUCAGAGCCCUAUGUAGCAAUACAGGGUGAUGGACUGCCUUUUGCAUAAUGAGCCUGCGAGUUGUGGUGUCUGGCAAGGUUAAGCAAACGCGAAGCCGUAGCGAAAGCGAGUCUGAAUAGGGCGCUUAGUCAGAUGCUGCAGACCCGAAACGAAGUGAUCUAUCCAUGAGCAAGUUGAAGCUAGUGUAAGAACUAGUGGAGGACUGAACCCAUAGGCGUUGAAAAGCCCCGGGAUGACUUGUGGAUAGGGGUGAAAGGCCAAUCAAACUUCGUGAUAGCUGGUUCUCUCCGAAAUAUAUUUAGGUAUAGCGUUGUGUCGUAAUAUAAGGGGGUAGAGCACUGAAUGGGCUAGGGCAUACACCAAUGUACCAAACCCUAUCAAACUCCGAAUACCUUAUAUGUAAUCACAGCAGUCAGGCGGCGAGUGAUAAAAUCCGUCGUCAAGAGGGAAACAACCCAGACUACCAGCUAAGGUCCCUAAAUCUUACUUAAGUGGAAAACGAUGUGAAGUUACUUAAACAACCAGGAGGUUGGCUUAGAAGCAGCCAUCCUUUAAAGAAAGCGUAAUAGCUCACUGGUCUAGUGAUUUUGCGCGGAAAAUAUAACGGGGCUAAAGUAAGUACCGAAGCUGUAGACUUAGUUUACUAAGUGGUAGGAGAGCGUUCUAUUUGCGUCGAAGGUAUACCGGUAAGGAGUGCUGGAGCGAAUAGAAGUGAGCAUGCAGGCAUGAGUAGCGAUAAUUAAUGUGAGAAUCAUUAACGCCGUAAACCCAAGGUUUCCUACGCGAUGCUCGUCAUCGUAGGGUUAGUCGGGUCCUAAGUCGAGUCCGAAAGGGGUAGACGAUGGCAAAUUGGUUAAUAUUCCAAUACCAACAUUAGUGUGCGAUGGAAGGACGCUUAGGGCUAAGGGGGCUAGCGGAUGGAAGUGCUAGUCUAAGGUCGUAGGAGGUUAUACAGGCAAAUCCGUAUAACAAUACUCCGAGAACUGAAAGGCUUUUUGAAGUCUUCGGAUGGAUAGAAGAACCCCUGAUGCCGUCGAGCCAAGAAAAGUUUCUAAGUUUAGCUAAUGUUGCCCGUACCGUAAACCGACACAGGUGGGUGGGAUGAGUAUUCUAAGGCGCGUGGAAGAACUCUCUUUAAGGAACUCUGCAAAAUAGCACCGUAUCUUCGGUAUAAGGUGUGGUUAGCUUUGUAUUAGGAUUUACUCCGAAAGCAAGGAAACUUACAACAAAGAGUCCCUCCCGACUGUUUACCAAAAACACAGCACUCUGCUAACUCGUAAGAGGAUGUAUAGGGUGUGACGCCUGCCCGGUGCUCGAAGGUUAAUUGAUGGGGUUAGCAUUAGCGAAGCUCUUGAUCGAAGCCCGAGUAAACGGCGGCCGUAACUAUAACGGUCCUAAGGUAGCGAAAUUCCUUGUCGGUUAAAUACCGACCUGCAUGAAUGGCGUAACGAGAUGGGAGCUGUCUCAAAGAGGGAUCCAGUGAAAUUGUAGUGGAGGUGAAAAUUCCUCCUACCCGCGGCAAGACGGAAAGACCCCGUGGACCUUUACUACAGCUUGACACUGCUACUUGGAUAAGAAUGUGCAGGAUAGGUGGGAGGCUUUG
rnacentral:rRNA from 1 species